UUCAUUUAUAUUUAAUUCCAGAAACCACAUCAAGUCUUUGUAGAAUGAAGUAGAGUAUAAAGAAGUAGAAGUGUACACAUUCAUCUUUAAAAUAGCCAUGCCUAGGUAAAGCAGCUUGCAUUUAAACACACAAUAGAUUUUUCAUGAUUGUGUUGAACAGAAGUAACCUAACCUGUUUUUAUAGCCUUCAAAAUAAGGGGGAUAGGAAUGCUUUCAGCCCUUUUCAAUAGCUUUGCUUAUCCUGUUUUUUGUUAGAUCCCUCCUCUUGGUUUGAUCAUAGUAGUCACUGUAUUUCUUUUUGUAAGUUGGUCUGCAAAGGAUAGGGCUUGCAGACCAUUGGAAAGUUUGAUGCCUAUGAGUCAUAUUGCUGAAGGCGGAACUUUUGAGCCAGAUUAUUUAUGUAAGGGCACAAGAUGCUGUUAUUUACAACAGAGUGAACUGAGCCUCAGUCAGAAAAAGUCUGUUUGCAGAAAUACAUAUCCAAGACAAAGACAGGAUGGGCACUGCUGGAAAAGUUAUUAAAUGCAAGGCAGCUGUGCUUUGGGAUCAGAAGAAACCCUUCUCCAUUGAGGAAAUAGAAGUUGCUCCACCGAAGACUAAAGAAGUUCGCAUUAAGAUUUUGGCCACAGGAAUCUGUCGCACAGAUGACCAUGUGAUAAAAGGAACAAUGGUGUCUAAGUUUCCAGUGAUUGUGGGACAUGAGGCAACUGGGAUUGUAGAGAGCAUUGGAGAAGGAGUGACUACAGUGAAACCAGGUGACAAAGUCAUCCCUCUCUUUCUGCCACAGUGUAGAGAAUGCAAUGCUUGCCGCAACCCAGAUGGCAACCUUUGCAUUAGGAGCGACAUUACUGGUCGUGGAGUACUGGCUGAUGGCACCACCAGAUUUACAUGUAAGGGCAAACCAGUCUAUCACUUCAUGAAUACCAGUACAUUUACUGAGUACACAGUGGUAGAUGAAUCUUCAGUGGCUAAGAUUGAUGACACAGCUCCACCUGAGAAAGUCUGUUUAAUUGGCUGUGGGUUUUCCACUGGAUAUGGGGCUGCUGUUAAAACCGGCAAGGUCAAACCUGGUUCCACUUGUGUCGUCUUUGGCCUGGGAGGAGUUGGCCUGUCAGUCAUUAUGGGCUGUAAGUCAGCUGGUGCAUCUAGGAUCAUUGGGAUUGACCUCAACAAAGACAAAUUUGAGAAGGCCAUGGCUGUGGGAGCUACUGAGUGUAUCAGCCCCAAGGACUCUACCAAGCCCAUCAGUGAGGUGCUAUCAGAAAUGACAGACAACAAUGUGGGGUACACCUUUGAAGUUAUUGGGCGUCUUGACACCAUGAUUGAUGCCCUGGCAUCCUGCCAUAUGAAUUAUGGAACCAGCGUGGUAGUAGGAGCUCCUCCAUCAGCCAAGAUGCUCACCUAUGACCCGAUGCUGCUCAUCACUGGACGUACAUGGAAGGGAUGUGUCUUUGGAGGUUUGAAAAGCAGAGAUGAUGUCCCCAAAUUAGUGACUGAGUUCCUGGCAAAGAAAUUUGACCUGGACCAGUUGAUAACUCAUGUUUUACCAUUUAAACAAAUCAAUGAAGGAUUUGAGCUGCUCAAUUCAGGGCAAAGUUAAGAAUUUGGCAUCCAUUCUAACAACCACUGCAGCAGAUUCUUGGGAUAAAGUGAGGGAAGAAGGUCUCAUCUACUUGUAAGAUCUCUUGGGCAUCCAGAAAUCUAAGCACACUGGAUUAGAUUAGGGUAAUUCCUGUUCACAUGUUUCUAGGCGUGUUCAUGCUUUCUCUUUAACCUAAAAACCCCUUUCCUCUUGUUGGCAUUCUGAAAUCAUACUGAUGCUUCCAGAAUCAGCUCAGAUACCUCAUCAGAGUUGCACAAGAACGAAAACUAAUUGCAUUAGAACUGUCCUGACGUUUUGAGAUCCAACGUGACAGGAGGUGUUGUGAGGGUGACCUGGAGUUUCUCUUUUGACAGUUCCCUCAUCUGAGAUCGUGGAUCUGUCUCAAAAAAUACAAGCGGAAGUAGAAGGCUUGGUGAAGACAUAGAACCCUUAUAAAGGAUUAUCAACAUUUAUAAACAUUUAGAGUCUUGUGAGCACCUGCGAAUUAGUAUAAUAGCAAUGUUAAAAUUUUUAAUUUACAUUUUGUAAGGCCAUAAUUGUAUCUUUUAAAAAUAUAUCCUUGGAUUUUUACAUUGAAAUAGAGAUUUUUGAGAGUUUCAACCAACUGCUGCAGAUAUGUGUCUCAAAACAGAUAUAACGUGUAAAGAUAUAGUAAAUGCAUCUCCUAGAGUAAUUCUCACUUAACACAUUGAAAUUAUUGUAUUUUAGAUUUGAAUAUAAAUGUAUUUUUAAAUAUCUGUUAUGAGUUAACUUGGAUUAGGUUUUGAAAUCAGUUCAUUUCAUGAUACAUAUUACUUGAUUAGAUUAAGAAAGACAGAAAAGAUUAAGGGCAGGGCACAUUUUUCAACGAUUAAGAAUCAUCAUUACAUAACUUGGUGAAACUGAAAAAGUGUGUCAUAUAGGCACAUGAGGCUAUUUGCCAGCAUAUAUUAAUAUUUCAAAAAAUUCCUUUUUGGAAUACUGAAUAUAAAUGUAGAGCUAGAAUCACAUUAUAAUAUUUACCAUAAUGUUCAGGUUGAUACAGUACAAUUACAAGUCCCUAUUCACUGUGCUUAGUAGUGACUCCAUUUAAUAAAAAGUGUUUUUAUUUUUUAACAACCACACUGAUGUAUCUAUAUAUAUCUAUAGCAUGUUAAAAAUACUUAAAAUUAAAAAUUGUAUAAAAUA